rnacentral:rRNA from 1 species
AUUACCCACUCCCGGCACGGGGAGGUAGUGACGAAAAAUAACGAUACGGGACUCAUCCGAGGCCCCGUAAUCGGAAUGAGUAUACUCUAAAUACUUGUACAAGUAUCAAUUGGAGGGCAAGUCUGGUGCCAGCAGCCGCGGUAAUUCCAGCUCCAAUAGCGUAUAUUAAAGUUGUUGCGGUUAAAAAGCUCGUAGUUGGAUCUGUGUCCUUCGACGCCGGUUCACCGCCUGUCGGUGCCAACUGGCGUUUUGCGGGACGUCCUGUCGGUGGCGCGCCAAGGGUCCUGGUCGUGUUUCAGGUUCACACCUGAAGCCGGCUCUGGUUCUGGGCCGCUUUCAUAAUCCCGUCCCGGUGCUCUUUACCGAGUGUCGAGGCGGGCCGGCACGUUUACUUUGAACAAAUUAGAGUGCUUCAAGCAGGCUCAUUAUGCCUAUAUACUGUGUGCAUGGAAUAAUGGAAUAGGACCUCGGUUCUAUUUUGUUGGUUUCCGGAAUCUGAGGUAAUGAUCAAUGGGGACGGGCGGGGGCAUUCGUAUUGCGACGUUAGAGGUGAAAUUCUUGGAUCGUCGCAAGACGGACCGAAGCGAAAGCAUUUGCCAAGUACGUUCCCGUCGAUCAAGAACGAAAGUUAGAGGUUCGAAGGCGAUCAGAUACCGCCCUAGUUCUAACCAUAAACAAUGCCUGCCAGCGAUCCGCCGGUGUCUUUUCUGAUGACCCGGCGGGCAGCUUCCGGGAAACCAGAGCUUUUGGGUUCCGGGGGAAGUAUGGUUGCAAAGCUGAAACUUAAAGGAAUUGACGGAAGGGCACCACCAGGAGUGGAGCCUGCGGCUUAAUUUGACUCAACACGGGAAAACUCACCAGGCCCGGACACCGGAAGGAUUGACAGAUUGAUAGCUCUUUCUUGAUUCGGUGGGUGGUGGUGCAUGGCCGUUCUUAGUUGGUGGAGCGAUUUGUCUGGUUAAUUCCGAUAACGAACGAGACUCUAGCCUACUAACUAGACGUAUCUGGUAUCAGCAUUCGUGCUACCAGCGAUCAUAUCUCUUCUUAGAGGGACAGGCGGCUUCUAGCCGCACGAGACUGAGCAAUAACAGGUCUGUGAUGCCCUUAGAUGUCCUGGGCCGCACGCGCGCUACACUGAAGGAAUCAGCGUGUCUUCCCUGUCCGAAAGGACCGGGUAACCCGCUGAACCUCCUUCGUGCUUGGGAUUGGGGCUUGCAAUUGUUCCCCAUGAACGAGGAAUUCCCAGUAAGCGCGAGUCAUAAGCUCGCGUUGAUUACGUCCCUGCCCUUUGUACACA